UACGUAGGGUGCGAGCGUUGUCCGGAAUUAUUGGGCGUAAAGAGCUCGUAGGCGGCCUGUCGCGUCGGAUGUGAAAGCCCGGGGCUUAACCCCGGGUCUGCAUUCGAUACGGGCAGGCUAGAGUGUGGUAGGGGAGAUCGGAAUUCCUGGUGUAGCGGUGAAAUGCGCAGAUAUCAGGAGGAACACCCGUGGCGAAGGCGGCUCGCUGGACCGCAACUGACGCUGAGGAACGAAAGCUAGGGGAGCAAACAGG
rnacentral:rRNA from 1 species